CAGCGGCGGACGGCAAGGCGGGGAGAGGGGCAGCCCGCUCGCGGCCCUCCCGCCUGGCUCUCGCCUCGGCCUGCGGCCGGGAUCCUCCGCCCGGGUCGCGCAGCGGAGGCCGAGGGCUGGGACGGGCGGCUGGGAAGUGGGAAAGGGAGCUCCUUUUGUCUUCUCUUCCCAUCCCCCAGGUUUGGGAAAGUUUUCCUUUUGGGAAAGCCCCUCUCUUCAGCCUGCUGGCGGGUGUCGGAUUGGUUAGCGACCACCGGCCCCCGCCUCCCCCAACAGGAUUCUCCUUUGGGCCACAGGUCUUCCGGAAGUUGCCAAACCCCGGUAGCGGCAGCGUCCGGCUGGGGGCUUUAUUAGGGGGCACCGGGGUCUGCUUUCCGACUCCCUUCCGACUCCGCGCCUGCGCAGGAAGCGAUUUGGGGAGUGUUGUGAAUUCCGAGGGCUCCACACUUAAGAGGUUGUACACUCACCUGUCUACCUGGACUCCAAUUUCCAUAUUUCCAGCCACUUGAGGACUGAGAGGUGGAUGAUAAACCCUGUCAUAGUGGAGCAAGUUCAGGUGUUUAACCGCUGUUAUGGGGGAUCUGCCUUUUCUCCCUCUUCUUUCUUACUUCCAUAAGUAUGUAUGUGCAGAGAUUGAAAAAUAACCUUGAGAGAGUCCAUCCAUCUAACUCCAGAUCUUGACAUCUAUGGUUCUUCAUUGUUCAGGACACAGCUGAAGUAUUACCUUUCCCAAGAGAUCUUACAUGACAAUAACCACCCCUGUCCUAUGUAAGUACUACAUACUUCAGUUGCUUUCACACAUCACCCUGUUUUACUGUGUUUAUUGCAGUUGUCAUUGUGUGAAAUGGUCUUGUUUCACCAUUAUUGUAUUUUGCCAAGUAGAGCACUAUCCAACAGCAAGAUGACAGUGUUGAAGUUUACUUAAUGUUUCCACAAUUCAUUGCAUCAUUUUAACUACAUGGAUAUCUUAAGUCCUCCAGGUCUACUUCCUGUCCUUAACAGUGAACUGUAUUAUGACAUCAUGCAGAGCCCAUGGUGCCAGCAGUAGCCCUGCUGGUAAUGCUUGCUUAUGAUUGCCGAAUUGGGGGUCAGCCUGUCCUG
rnacentral:lncRNA from 1 species